rnacentral:rRNA from 1 species
UUAGCAUGGAAUAAUGGAAUAGGGCGUGUGGUCUUAUUUCGUUGGUUUCUAGGACCGCCGUAAUGAUUAAUAGGGACAGUCGGGGGCAUCAGUAUUCAAUCGUCAGAGGUGAAAUUCUUGGAUCGAUUGAAGACUAACUACUGCGAAAGCAUUUGCCAAGGAUGUUUUCAUUAAUCAGGAACGAAAGUUAGGGGAUCGAAGACGAUCAGAUACCGUCGUAGUCUUAACCAUAAACUAUGCCGACUAGGGAUCGGACGGUGUUAUUUUUUGACCCGUUCGGCACCUUACGAGAAAUCAAAGUGCUUGGGCUCCAGGGGGAGUAUGGUCGCAAGGCUAAAACUUAAAGAAAUUGACGGAAGGGCACCACCAGGGGUGGAGCCUGCGGCUUAAUUUGACUCAACACGGGGAAACUCACCAGGUCCAGACACAAUGAGGAUUGACAGAUUGAGAGCUCUUUCUUGAUUUUGUGGGUGGUGGUGCAUGGCCGUUCUUAGUUGGUGGAGUGAUUUGUCUGCUUAAUUGCGAUAACGAACGAGACCUUAACCUGCUAAAUAGCCCGUAUUGCUUUGGCAGUACGCUGGCUUCUUAGAGGGACUAUCGGCUCAAGCCGAUGGAAGUUUGAGGCAAUAACAGGUCUGUGAUGCCCUUAGAUGUUCUGGGCCGCACGCGCGCUACACUGACGGAGCCAGCGAGUACUUCCUUGUCCGAAAGGUCCGGGUAAUCUUGUUAAACUCCGUCGUGCUGGGGAUAGAGCAUUGCAAU